ACGUGUACUCCAGAUGUUUUCAGUUUAAAUAAUCAUGCACAUUCUCAAUCAUGUGGUGUGCAAAAGUGGGUUUAUACAGAUUUAUACAAUUCAUUGUAACAUCCUGGAGCUGGAUAGAUGCUAUAUUACUUUGUAGAACGAUUGUGUUGGUGGUUAUGUUGAUGGAACUUGAUAUAGUAAAGUCACUUUCCUGUAUUUACUUGAUAUAGUAAAGGCAAUUUGUGCAACACAAAUCUAGUUUCAUUAUCCUCAUAUAGUCAGUAUGUAAAAUGAACGGCUUAUAGCAUUUUGCUGUGCAACUGUUUAUUAGUUAGAACUCUAUUAUCAAAAAUCUAAUCAUGAGUAAUGCUGCAACAGUCAAAGAAAGAAGUCGAACCUGAAGAAGUCCUCGGAAGAAUCACAGCUGCGUGUGCCCGGCUGGUUCAGGGGACGCGACAGGCGCUGGCGCCCUGCCCCGGCGGGCGUGUGCGCGGCGGCGUGGGUGCCAGUGCAGGGCGGGCGCGGCGGUGCGGGUGCCGGGGCAGGCUCUCUCCUGGGCACUGGCGAUCUCGCAGGACGGAUGCCACGCUACGAGCGGCAACAAUCGGCGAUGGCGAUCGUGCACGGAGGUGACGUGACGGUGCAGUGCGGCGUGGUCGCCGCGCAGGCAGGAGACGCCGUUGGUUGGCGGCGUAUGUGCCUGGCGGUGAGGUCAAGGUCAAGGGCGUGAAGUUCCCUUAGCUUGCGAUCUGAUUUUCCGUGAUUGUAGGGGACGCUGGGCUGGUUGUUAGUUUGCGAUCUGAUUUUCGUGAUUGUAGGGGACGUUGGGCUGGUUGUUAGUUUGCGAUCUGAUUUCCGUGAUUGUAGGGGACGCGCGGGGCUGGUUGUUCGACUACUACUCUCAUGAUGAAGUACGGUCAGUCAUUGGUAAAUGCUAAGUGCACACGGUUUGGAUUAAUGAUGGCCGUUAGAUUGAGACUUGUUGGCCUAAUCGUGUGGUGCUGAUUGGCUCGUGCGUUAUUGUGGGACUAAUUGCGGGUGCAUGUAAGAAAGUU
rnacentral:lncRNA from 1 species